UACGAAGGGGGCAAGCGUUGUUCGGAAUUACUGGGCGUAAAGGGCGCGUAGGCGGCACGGCAAGUCAGGAGUGAAAGCCCUGGGCUCAACCCGGGAACUGCUUUUGAAACUGCCGAGCUAGAGUGCGGAAGGGGCAACUGGAAUUCCCAGUGUAGCGGUGAAAUGCGUAGAUAUUGGGAAGACCACCUGAGGCGAAGGCGGGUUGCUGGGCCGACACUGACGCUGAGGCGCGAAAGCCAGGGGAGCGAACGGG
rnacentral:rRNA from 1 species